AUACGUAGGUGACAAGCGUUAUCCGGAUUUACUGGGCGUAAAGGGCGUGUAGGCGGUCUUGCAAGUCAGAAGUGAAAUUCCUGAGCUCAACUCGGGCGCUGCUUCUGAAACUGCAGGACUUGAGUGCUGGAGGGGAUAGCGGAAUUCCUAGUGGAGCGGUAAAAUGCGCAGAUAUUAGGAAGAACACCGGUGGCGAAGGCGGCUAUCUGGACAGUAACUGACGCUGAGGCGCGAAAGCGUGGGGAGCAAACAGGAUUAGAUACCCUUGUAGUCCACGCCGUAAACGAUGAAUACUAGGUGUAGGGGGUAUCGACUCCCUCUGUGCCGCAGUUAACACAAUAAGUAUUCCGCCUGGGGAGUACGGCCGCAAGGUUGAAACUCAAAGGAAUUGACGGGG
rnacentral:rRNA from 1 species